rnacentral:rRNA from 1 species
GCCGCGUGUGUGAAGAAGGCCUUCGGGUUGUAAAGCACUUUCAGUCAGGAGGAAAGGGUGUGUUUUAAUAGAGCAUAUCUGUGACGUUACUGACAGAAGAAGCACCGGCUAACUCCGUGCCAGCAGCCGCGGUAAUACGGAGGGUGCGAGCGUUAAUCGGAAUUACUGGGCGUAAAGCGUACGCAGGCGGUUUGUUAAGCGAGAUGUGAAAGCCCCGGGCUCAACCUGGGAACUGCAUUUCGAACUGGCAAACUAGAGUGUGAUAGAGGGUGGUAGAAUUUCAGGUGUAGCGGUGAAAUGCGUAGAGAUCUGAAGGAAUACCGAUGGCGAAGGCAGCCACCUGGGUCAACACUGACGCUCAUGUACGAAAGCGUGGGGAGCAAACAGGAUUAGAUACCCUGGUAGUCCACGCCGUAAACGAUGUCUACUAGAAGCUCGGAGCCUCGGUUCUGUUUUUCAAAGCUAACGCAUUAAGUAGACCGCCUGGGGAGUACGGCCGCAAGGUUAAAACUCAAAUGAAUUGACGGGGGCCCGCACAAGCGGUGGAGCAUGUGGUUUAAUUCGAUGCAACGCGAAGAACCUUACCUACACUUGACAUACAGAGAACUUACCAGA